GAACUUAAGCAUAUCAAUAAGCGGAGGAAAAGAAACCAACAGGGAUUGCCUCAGUAACGGCGAGUGAAGCGGCAACAGCUCAAAUUUGAAAUCUGGCCGCAAGGUCCGAGUUGUAAUUUGUAGAGGAUGCUUUUGGCGAGGUGCCUUCCGAGUUCCCUGGAACGGGACGCCAUAGAGGGUGAGAGCCCCGUACGGUAGGACCACCAAGCCUCUGUAAAGCUCCUUCGACGAGUCGAGUAGUUUGGGAAUGCUGCUCUAAAUGGGAGGUGUACGUCUUUUAAAGCUAAAUACCGGCCAGAGACCGAUAGCGCACAAGUAGAGUGAUCGAAAGAUGAAAAGCACUUUGAAAAGAGGGUUAAAAAGUACGUGAAAUUGUUGAAAGGGAAGCAUUCAUGACCAGACUUGGGCUUGGUUGAACAUCCGGCGUUCUCGCCGGUGCACUCUGCCAGUCCAGGCCAGCAUCAGUUUGCCCCGGGGGAUAAAGGCGGCGGGAAUGUGGCUCCCUUCGGGGAGUGUUAUAGCCCGUCGUGUAAUGCCCUGGGGCGGACUGAGGAACGCGCUUCGGCACGGAUGCUGGCGUAAUGGUCAUCAAUGACCCGUCUUGAAACACGGACCAAGGAGUCGUCUUCGUAUGCGAGUGUUCGGGUGUCAAACCCCUACGCGUAAUGAAAGUGAACGUAGGUGAGAGCUUCGGCGCAUCACCGACCGAUCCUGAUGUUCUCGGAUGGAUUUGAGUAAGAGCAUACGGGGCCGGACCCGAAA
rnacentral:rRNA from 1 species